rnacentral:rRNA from 1 species
GAUGAACGCUAGCGGCAGGCUUAAUACAUGCAAGUCGUGGGGCAGCAGGACUGUAGCAAUACAGUUGCUGGCGACCGGCAAACGGGUGCGGAACACGUACGCAACUUACCCUGAACUGGGGGAUAGCCCGGGGAAACCCGGAUUAAUACCCCGUAAUAUAAUGGAGUGGCAUCACUUUAUUAUUAAAGCUACGGCGGUUCGGGAUGGGCGUGCGGCUGAUUAGGUAGUUGGUUGGGGUAACGGCUCACCAAGCCUACGAACGGUAACUGGUGGAAGAGAACGACAAAUCACGCGGGAACUGAGACACUGGCCCGACUACUACGGGAGGCAGCAGGAAGGAAUAUUAGGCAAUGGAGGCAACUCUGACCCAGCCAGGCCGCGUGGAGGAUGGAGGCCCUCUGGGUUGUAAGCUUCUUUUAUAGUGGACGAAACCUGUGUAUUCUUACGCAGUUGACGGUACCCUAGGAAUAAGCACCGGCUAACUCCGUG